UGGGGAAUAUUGCACAAUGGGCGAAAGCCUGAUGCAGCGACGCCGCGUGAGGGAUGACGGCCUUCGGUUUGUAAACCUCUUUCAGCAGGGACGAAGCGCAAGUGACGGUACCUGCAGAAGAAGCACCGGCUAACUACGUGCCAGCAGCCGCGGUAAUACGUAGGGUGCAAGCGUUGUCCGGAAUUACUGGGCGUAAAGAGUUCGUAGGCGGUUUGUCGCGUCGGUUGUUUAAACCAGCAGCUCAACUGCUGGCUUGCAGGCGAUACGGGCAGAAUUGAGUACUGAAGGGGAGACUGGAAUUCCUGGUGUAGCGGUGAAAUGCGCAGAUAUCAGGAGGAACACCGGUGGCGAAGGCGGGUCUCUGGGCAGUAACUGACGCUGAGGAACGAAAGCGUGGGUAGCGAACAGG
rnacentral:rRNA from 1 species